UACAGAGGUCCCGAGCGUUGUUCGGAUUCAUUGGGCGUAAAGGGCUCGUAGGCGGCCAACUAAGUCAGACGUGAAAUCCCUCGGCUUAACCGGGGAACUGCGUCUGAUACUGGAUGGCUAGAGGUUGGGAGAGGGAUGCGGAAUUCCAGGUGUAGCGGUGAAAUGCGCAGAUAUCAGGAGGAACACCGGUGGCGAAGGCGGGUCUCUGGGCCGUAACUGACGCUGAGGAGCGAAAGCGUGGGGAGCGAACAGG
rnacentral:rRNA from 1 species